ensembl:lncRNA
CUGUGUUUAAUCGUCUGCAGUCAGUAAAGAGUCGUGAAGUGAGCUGUGAUUAUUCACUGAUCUCUGACCCGACUGCUCGCUCUCUAAUGAGUGAUAAAUACAACAUGAUGCGUAAGUUAUAAUAAAUCAAAUUAUGUAUUCCAUUACUUUAUACCUUUGAAUAAUUUUAACUCAUUUUCAUUUCAUCCUUUGUCAGAUGUCUUUACAACAACAAUAACAACAACGACUCAGACAUCCACUCCUGAAGAGAAACCCAGUGCAGGAACAACAGCAACAACAACAACAGCAACAACAACAAUAACAACAACAAUAAAGAGUGAUAAAUACAACAUGACACGUUUCUUUCCUACACCAACACAGCCGUCCAUCACUACUGAGAAAUCCACUGCAUAUUCCUCUUCUGAAUCAACACAGCAGUCCGUCACUACACAGAAAUCCACUGCAGGAUCGCUGCCUACCGUACUGUCAGUCACCGGUGUGUGUGUUUUACUGGCUGGACUGAUGAGCUUCUGUCUCUGCGUGUGUAUCAGUAAGUCUUUAACUUCAUCUUUUAGCAAAAUCUUGAUGGUGUUGAUAAUUAUGACAUGACUGAACGUGUUUUUGUUACUUCGACAAGCAGAAGACUGAGAGGUUAGACAUUUAUUGUGUUCAGCUGAACUGCGUAUUAUUAAAUCCUGAUUUUAUCACAUCUAAGCAUCUAAUAGCCGUGUAUAUCUGUGUGGAUUAUCUUCAGCAGAUGUAAAUUGAACACGACCCACCGUGAUCAGGGUACAUUUAUCACUUUCUUACCAAGCUGGAAAAGUCCAAAAGCCAUAAACAACAAAAUAAAUAAAUAAAUAAAUAAAUAAAUAGAAACUCUGAGCUCUGAAGAAGCUCCACCCACUUCACACAAUCACAUCACGUCAUAUAUCACUGAAAAGCUGUUUUCUGCUGUAAAUGUUAGCUCAUGUGACAUUAUGACAUAGAUGCCAGUUUCCUUUAGAAAUCUUAUAAAGAUAUACAGUAACCUUACGUGUUAUCAUAAAUGACUACCGUGUGAAAUGUCUCCUGUUGUUGUGUCUUAAAAUUAAGACCUUCCUUGCGAGACAAGAAUCUUCACCAUCUGAAUUAUGAGUGCCCGUCGUCAUUUUUCCUUCUCUCCUUUACUGGAGGGGCUGGAUUUGAAUCUGACCAUUCUUCCCUCUUCUCACCUGUCAGUCCACCCUACUCUCAGUGGUCUCCUUAUUUCACCUUUGCUGACUAUCCCAUGUCCCCAGGACACACCCUAUUUUCUUCCCCCUACCGCUCUCCUCAAGAUUAC